CCUGUAGAAAAGGCCUUCCCACCUCCAAAGACCAGUGGGAAGCAUCUCAGGACCCGCUCUCUCACUCCACACAGCACGCUCCCCGUGCAGCCCGCU